rnacentral:rRNA from 1 species
AUGGAUCAUGACCUCGAGAAAGCGAGAAAUCUAAAAUUAAUUUUAUCAGCAUUCGAGCAACUCUUAGGUCUGAAGAUCAACUUUCAUAAAAGUGAAUUGUUUUGUUUUGGCGAGGCUCAAGACAAGGCCCACCUGUAUGUUGAAAUGUUCGAAUGUGAGUUGGGCCAGUUUCCGACCACAUAUUUGGGGAUACCGAUACAUUAUCGGAGAUUCACAAAUGCUGAAUGGAAACAUGUCGAGGAGAGGCUGCAAAAAAGACAUAGCAGUUGGAAAGGUAAACUGUUGUCUCUGGGUGGAAGAUUGGUCCUCAUAAACUCAGUACUAAGUAAUAUGGUACAGUAUAUGAUUUCCUUCUUCCAGUUGUCAAAAGGAGUUUUACAUAGAUUGGAUUAUUUCCGAUCAAGAUUCUUUUGGAAAGGAGAUAGCGAGCGAAAGAAAUAUAGACUGGCUAAAUGGAGUGUGGUUUGCCGUCCCAAAGACCAAGGCGGGUUGGGCAUUCAUGACCUUGAGGUUAAGAAUAUGGUCCUCCUCGACAAAUGGUUGUUUAAAGUACUGACCGAAAAUGGUGUAUGGCAAACCCUCCUGAGGAGGAAAUAUGUGGGCUCCAAGGUUGUAUCCCAAGUAUACUAG